rnacentral:ncRNA from 1 species
AAAUGAAAAAGGCAAACCUGCCGAAAGGCAGGGACGCAAAGCUACGGGUCUAAAGCGACACUUGCCAGGACAGCCGGGUUGCCGUU